rnacentral:rRNA from 1 species
CCUACGGGUGGCAGCAGUGGGGAAUAUUGCACAAUGGGGGCAACCCUGAUGCAGCGACGCCGCGUGAGUGAAGAAGUAUUUCGGUACGUUAAGCUCUAUCAGUAGGAAGGAAAAUGCAGGUACCUGACUAAGAAUCCCCGGCUAACUACGAGCCCGCAGCCGCGGUAAUACGUAGGGGGCAAGCGUUAUCCGGAUUUACUGGGUGUAAAGGGGGCGUAGACGGUAGCGCAAGUCUGGAGUGAAAUCCCAUGGCUUAACCAUGGAACUGCCUUGGAAACUGUGCAGCUAGAGUGCAGGAGAGGUAAGCGGAAUUUCUAGUGUAGCGGUGAAAUGCGUAGAGAUUAGGAAGAACACCAGUGGCGAAGGCGGCUUACUAGACUGUAACUGACGUUGAGGCUCGAAAGCGUGGGGAGCAAACAGGAUUAGAUACCCCUGUAGUC